AAUACGUAGGUAACCUGCCCUUAGGACCGGGAUAACUCACGGAAACGUGGGCUAAUACCGGAUAGUCGAUUUCCUCGCAGGANGGAAUCGGGAAAGGCGGAGCAAUCUGCCACUUAUGGANGGACCUACGGCGCAUUAGCUAGUUGGUGGGGUAACGGCUCACCAAGGCGACGAUGCGUAGCCGACCUGANAGGGUGAUCGGCCACACUGGGACUGANACACGGCCCAAACUCCUACGGGAGGCAGCAGUAGGGAAUCUUCCGCAAUGGACGCAAGUCUGACGGAGCAACGCCNCGUGAGUGAUGAAGGUUUUCGGAUCGNAAAGCUCUGUUGCCAGGGAAGAACGCUAUGGAGAGUANCUGUUCCAUAGGUGACGGUACCUGAGAAGAAAGCCCCGGCUAACUACGUGCCAGCAGCCGCGGUAAUACGUAGGGGGCAAGCGUUGUCCGGAAUUAUUGGGCGUAAAGCGCGCGCAGGCGNUCAUGUAAGUCUGGUGUUUAAACCCGGGGCUCAACUCCGGGUCNNAUCGGAAACUGUGUGACUUGAGUGCANAAGAGGAAAGUGGAAUUCCACGUGUANCGGUGAAAUGCGUAGAGAUGUGGAGGAACACCAGUGGCGAAGGCGACUUUCUGGGCUGUAACUGACGCUGAGGCGCGAAAGCGUGGGGAGCAAACAGGANUAGAUACCCUGGUAGUCCACGCCGUAAACGAUGAAUGCUAGGUGUUANGGGUUUCGAUACCCUUGGGUGCCGAAGUUNACACAUUAAGCAUUCCGCCNGGGGANUANNGUCGCAAGACUGAAACUCAAANGGAAUUGANGGG
rnacentral:rRNA from 1 species